rnacentral:hammerhead_ribozyme from 1 species
AGCUGAAGAGUCCGAAAUAGGACGGAACGCGCGUUCU